rnacentral:rRNA from 1 species
GACGAACGCUGGCGGCGUGCUUAACACAUGCAAGUCGAACGGUGACGGAGAGCUUGCUCUCCUGAUCAGUGGCGAACGGGUGAGUAACACGUGGGCAACCUGCCCCAGACUUCGGGAUAACGCUUCGAAAGAGGUGCUAAUACCGAAUACGAACCUCCCUGGCAUCUGGGAGGUUGGAAAGUUUUUCGGUCUGGGAUGGGCCCGCGGCCUAUCAGCUUGUUGGUGAGGUAACGGCUCACCAAGGCGACGACGGGUAGCCGGCCUGAGAGGGCGACCGGCCACACUGGGACUGAGACACGGCCCAGACUCCUACGGGAGGCAGCAGUGGGGAAUAUUGCGCAAUGGGCGAAAGCCUGACGCAGCAACGCCGCGUGAGGGAUGACGGCCU